AGUAACGGCGAGUGAAGCGGCAACAGCUCAAAUUUGAAAUCUGGCCUCUUUGGGGUCCGAGUUGUAAUUUGUAGAGGAUGUUUCGGGUACCGCCUCGGUUUAAAUUUCUUGGAACAGAAUGUCAAAGAGGGUGAGAAUCCCGUCUUGGACCGGCGGUAGGGCCCAUGUGAAACUCCUUCGACGAGUCGAGUUGUUUGGGAAUGCAGCUCAAAAUGGGUGGUAAAUUUCAUCUAAAGCUAAAUAUUGGCCAGAGACCGAUAGCGCACAAGUAGAGUGAUCGAAAGAUGAAAAGCACUUUGAAAAGAGAGUUAAACAGUAUGUGAAAUUGUUGAAAGGGAAGCGCUUACAACCAGACUUGCGCGCGGCGGUUCCCCCUUCCUUUUGGUUGGGCUACUCCGUCGUGUCCAGGCCAACAUCGGUUCUGGGGGUCGGUUAAAGACCUUGGGAAUGUAUCUACCCUUCGGGCGUAGACUUAUAGCCCAGGGUGUCAUGCGACCUCCCGGGACCGAGGAACGCGCUUCGGCUCGGAUGUUGGCGUAAUGGUUGUCAGCGACCCGUCUUGAAA
rnacentral:rRNA from 1 species